UACGGGGGGGGCAAGCGUUGUUCGGAAUUACUGGGCGUAAAGGGCUCGUAGGCGGCCAACUCAGUCAGACGUGAAAUCCCCCGGCUUAGCCGGGGAACUGCGUCUGAUACUGGCUGGCUUGAGAUCGGGAGAGGGAUGCGGAAUUCCAGGUGUAGCGGUGAAAUGCGUAGAUAUCUGGAGGAACACCGGUGGCGAAGGCGGCAUCCUGGACCGACACUGACGCUGAGGAGCGAGAGCCAGGGGAGCAAACGGG
rnacentral:rRNA from 1 species